rnacentral:rRNA from 1 species
CAGUUCGGAUUGUAGGCUGCAACUCGCCUACAUGAAGUCGGAAUUGCUAGUAAUCGCGGAUCAGCAUGCCGCGGUGAAUACGUUCCCGGGCCUUGUACACACCGCCCGUCACACCAUGGAAGUUGGUAACACCCGAAGCCUGUAGCCUAACCGCAAGGAGGGCGCAGUCGAAGGUGGGAUUGAUGACUGGGGUGAAGUCGUAACAAGGUAUC